UUUCAUUUGAGUGUUUGAUCCUGGCUCAGGAUGAACGCUGGCGGCGUGCCUAACACAUGCAAGUUGAGCGAUUUACUUCGGUAAAGAGCGGCGGACGGGUGAGUAACGCGUGGGUAACCUACCCUGUACACACGGAUAACAUACCGAAAGGUAUGCUAAUACGGGAUAAUAUAUUUGAGAGGCAUCUCUUGAAUAUCAAAGGUGAGCCAGUACAGGAUGGACCCGCGUCUGAUUAGCUAGUUGGUAAGGUAACGGCUUACCAAGGCGACGAUCAGUAGCCGACCUGAGAGGGUGAUCGGCCACAUUGGAACUGAGACACGGUCCAAACUCCUACGGGAGGCAGCAGUGGGGAAUAUUGCACAAUGGGCGAAAGCCUGAUGCAGCAACGCCGCGUGAGUGAUGAAGGCCUUCGGGUCGUAAAACUCUGUCCUCAAGGAAGAUAAUGACGGUACUUGAGGAGGAAGCCCCGGCUAACUACGUGCCAGCAGCCGCGGUAAUACGUAGGGGGCUAGCGUUAUCCGGAUUUACUGGGCGUAAAGGGUGCGUAGGCGGUCUUUCAAGUCAGGAGUGAAAGGCUACGGCUCAACCGUAGUAAGCUCUUGAAACUGGGAGACUUGAGUGCAGGAGAGGAGAGUGGAAUUCCUAGUGUAGCGGUGAAAUGCGUAGAUAUUAGGAGGAACACCAG
rnacentral:rRNA from 1 species